AUCUAAGGGACUUUAUACUGUAUCUAAGGGGCUUUAUACUGUAUCUAAGGGGCUUCAUACUGUAUCUAAUGGGCUUUAUACUGUAUCUCAGGUUAAGGGGCUUUAUACUGUAUCUCAGGUUAAGGGGCUUUAUACUGUAUCUAAGGGGCUUUAUACUGUAUCUAAGGUUAAGGGGCUUCAUACUGUAUCUAAGGGGCUUUAUACUGUAUCUAAGGUUAAGGGGCUUUAUACUGUAUAUAAGGGGCUUUAUACUGUAUCUAAGG
ensembl:lncRNA